GAUCCUGGCUCAGGAUGAACGCUGGCGGCGUGGAUAAGGCAUGCAAGUCGGGAGGGUUAGACCCUCGGCAGACGGGUUAGUAACACGUAGGAAUCUACCUUGAAGUCGUGAAUAACUCUGAGAAAUCGGAGAUAAUACACGAUAGUCUCUUCGGAGUAAAGAUUUAUCGCUUCAAGAGGAGCCUGCGUCCUAUCAGCUUGUUGGUGAGGUAAUGGCUCACCAAGGCUGUGACGGGUAGGGGACGUGAGAGCGUGUUCCCCAACAUUGGCACUGAGACACUGGCCAAACACCUACGGGUGGCUGCAGUCGAGAAUAUUCCACAAUGGGCGAAAGCCUGAUGGAGCGACGCCGCGUGCGGGAUGACAGCUUUAGGGUUGUAAACCGCUUUUAUGGAGGAGGAACUUCGGUGACAGUACUCCAUGAAUAAGAGGCUGCUAACUACGUGCCAGAAGCAUCGGUAAUACGUAGGCCUCAAGCGUUAUCCGGAUUUAUUGGGCGUAAAGCGUGUGUAGGCGGAUAUAAUAGUCAUAUGUUAAAUCAUCUCGCUCAACGGGAUGGCCGCAUAUGAAACGUUAUAUCUAGAGGUAGGUAGAGGUUAGCGGAACUCAUGGUGUAGCAGUGGAAUGCAUUGAUAUCAUGGGGAAUACCAAAGGCGAAGGCAGCUAACUGGGCCUUAUCUGACGCUGAGACACGAAAGCGUGGGUAGCGAACGGGAUUAGAUACCCCGGUAGUCCACGCCGUAAACGAUGUGCACUAAUCAUUGGGAGUUUCGACCCUCUCAGUGUUGUAGCUAACGCGUUAAGUGCACCGCCUGGGAAGUACGAGCGCAAGCUUAAAACUCAAAGGAAUAGACGGGGAUCCGCACAAGCGGUGGAGCAUGCGGUUUAAUUCGAUAAUAAGCGAGGAACCUCACCAGGGUUAGAUAUUCUGCUGCAUACUUUUGGAAACAUUAGUAGCCUUCGAGGGUGCAGAACAGGUGUUGCAUGGUCGUCGUCAGCUCGUGCUGUAAAGUGUUCCAUUAAGUUGGGUAACGAGCGCAACCCCUACUGUGUGUUACAAGUGUCACACGGAACUGCCCCGCACCUUUUCUUGAAGCGGUCUUGAGACUGUUGGAUAAUUCAAUUUAUUUAGAAUUGUCUGAUAAGUUUAAAGAAAAGGUGCGGGGAGGAAGGUGGGGAUGACGUCAGAUCAGCAUGGCCCUUGACGCCCUGGGCGACACGCGUGCUACAAUGGCCGGUACAACGAGUUGCGAUAUCGCAAGAUGGAGCUAAUCUCUAAAAACCGGUCCCAGUUCGGAUUGAGGUCUGCAACUCGACCUCAUGAAGUUGGAAUCGCUAGUAAUCCCGAAUCAGCCAUGUCGGGGUGAAUACGUUCCCGGAUCUUGCA
rnacentral:rRNA from 1 species